rnacentral:rRNA from 1 species
UGGGGAAUUUUGGACAAUGGGCGCAAGCCUGAUCCAGCAAUGCCGCGUGCAGGAUGAAGGCCUUCGGGUUGUAAACUGCUUUUGUACGGAACGAAACGGCUCUGUCUAAUACAUGGGGCUAAUGACGGUACCGUAAGAAUAAGCACCGGCUAACUCUGUGCCAGCAGCCGCGGUAAUACAGAGGGUGCAAGCGUUAAUCGGAAUUACUGGGCGUAAAGCGCGCGUAGGUGGUUUGUUAAGUUGGAUGUGAAAUCCCCGGGCUCAACCUGGGAACUGCAUUUGUGACUGCAUGGCUAGAGUACGGUAGAGGGGGGUGGAAUUCCGCGUGUAGCAGUGAAAUGCGUAGAUAUGCGGAGGAACACCGAUGGCGAAGGCAAUCCCCUGGACCUGUACUGACGCUCAUGCACGAAAGCGUGGGGAGCAAACA